rnacentral:rRNA from 1 species
UAGGGAAUAUUGCAAAAUGGGCGAAAGCCCGAUGCAGCAACGCCGCGUGGGCGAUGAAGGCCUUCGGGUCGUAAAGCCCUUUUUGAGGGGAUGAGGAAGGACAGUACCCUCAGAAUAAGCCUCGGCUAACUACGUGCCAGCAGCCGCGGUAAAACGUAGGAGGCGAGCGUUAUCCGGAUUUACUGGGCGUAAAGCGCGUGCAGGCGGAUUGGAGAGUUGGAUGUGAAAGCUCCCGGCUUAACUGGGAGAGGUCGUUCAAUACUUCCAGUCUUGAGUGCAGUAGAGGGUAGUGGAAUUCCUGGUGUAGUGGUGAAAUGCGUAGAUAUCCGGAGGAGCACCAGUGGCGAAAGCGGCUUCCUGGACUGUAACUGACGCUCAGACGCGAAAGCUAGGGUAGCAAACG